GUCAGCCUGAACUUUGAAGCUUUGAAGCCCAGGCAUUGACUUCUCUCUAGCUAUGAAAGUCCUAGAUUGCAUCUUCUUCUAGAAUAAAUCUGUUUCAAAUAUAUUUGGUGUUGC
rnacentral:miRNA from 1 species